AGGCAGUGUAGAUAGAUGAUUUGA
rnacentral:miRNA from 2 species